rnacentral:lncRNA from 1 species
GUGAUUGCUCUCAUUUAUCUGUGACUAAACAACUGAAACCUACUAACCUCUAAUGACUAACAGACUGACCUACUUACCGGAAAAAGGAUAUUAAUCAAACCAAGCUGGUGAUUCAAGCGCAACGCAUCUCAUGCCUCCACUAGUGAACCGCUCCCCUUCGGCACUCUCCCCGAUCAUGACUUCACUCCUGCUACGAUAACAGAUGCUUUCAUCAAGCCUGGUCUCCUUGCUUGGUCUAACUUGCCUGUCUUACCUGGCUUACUUCGCAGAAAAGAUAUCUUUAUAGAAUAAAAGAAAGUUCCUAGACUGACUAAACCGACACUGAACUAACCGACAAAAAGAGAGGAAUUCAUUCAAUAACCAAUCUCAACUGAGAGGGUUCCACCAACGAGAAGAGCUCG